ensembl:lncRNA proline-rich protein 36-like
CCCGCAGACCCCGAGGGCGAAGCAGCACCGAGUCGUAAACAGGGUUGUUAUUACUCAGGUACGGUGUGAUGAACUUUAUUAAUCCCGGUGUGGGGAAUUAUUAUUGUAUUAUUGAUCCUUAAUACAUGGAAGUAUUAUAGCACAGCGGUGACACGGGAAACGAACGUGACCAUGUCAUGGUGGAACGAAUUAUGAUGAACCAGGCUGUGGGGCAUCUGCUGACCACUCCCCUGCGAUGGACCGUACCCACGUCUGAUGUUUUCCUCACCACUCCACAUUCCCCACCUCGCAGGAAUGCGUCUGCGGGGAACUACAGUACCCACAAUGCCCCAGGCCUGCGCUACCAGGAUUAAUCAUGGCUAGUUUGGUAAUUUGGAGAACCUAACCCAAACACAGGGUGGCGUUGUGCAAUCCUCAACUGGCCUGUGAUUGGCUGGAGGUUAUAAAGCGGGACAUUAAUAUCUCGUGUGUGUGAACGUAGACACACACUUGCACACACACUCACAGGACGCAGCAACAGGUGAGUGUGUCUCCACAUUCAUUUCUGCUCCAGUUGUGUUGACCGUUGUAUGUGUGAGAAUUGUCCUGGUGUCUCUGGUUGUGGAUUCUGAUGUGCACUGUGACAUGGCGCGUUUUACGGCCAGUAACAACGAUGAUGUUUCAGGUUUCAUCAUGAUGCCGUGCGUGUUCCUCAUCCUUCUCCUUCCACCUGUUCUCUCUGUGCCGGUGCCGCAGUAUAAAAUAGACAGCAACAGCAAUAGCAUGGAGUCCAUCCCUCGCCCUCCAGUCAUUCCAAUAGUCCCUCGACCUCCAGUGUCCAAUCCAAUCGCACCGCGGGCGGGUCCACGGAUCCCGCCUCUCAGCCCUCUUAAACCACCCACUACAACGCGGCAGAUGCCCAUCCGGAGCGCCUCUCCCGUCCCCGGUGCCGCAAACGCAGGUUUACUCCAGGCACCCGACAAGGUCACUCUCUCCACAGCCACAGGGCUGCCUCAGCAGUCCAGUCCCCCCCAGGUCCAUUCCGUCAACUUUGUCCUCAACUUGCCGUCUGGCAUGUCUGUGCCACUGAGCACGAUGCCCGUUUCCCCGGGAUCCGCCGUACGGCCAGUCAUGGGAACUCCUCUCGCCCCCGGCGCUGUGGCCCCGGGCACAACCAACAUGACCACGCCUGUUACUCUCGCCAUCAUGUGCCCAGAAUUUCCUGCGGGGUCCUCGGCGUCCUCGUUCAUGCCGGGCACAAUGUCAACGGCUAAUCCCGGCUACCUGGUCCCGGGAUAUCCAUUAGCACCUGGCAGGACCUGGCCUGUAAAUCCUGGCAUCAUGGUCCCAGGUUCAGGCUACGGGUACCCCCUAGCACCCCCUAGCAUGGCCUCGCCCUUUUAUCCCAACUUUGCAGCUCCUGGGUCCCCACUAGCGCCUGGCGCGAACCCCUUUUAUCCGCAGGGGUACCCAAUGAUACCCGGCAUGAACACACCCGUUAACCCUAACAUCGCCACACAGGGGCCCCCGCUAUCUCCUGGCAUGACCUCACCUAUUAAUCCUAACAUUGCUGCACAGGGGUCCCCACUAACUCCAGGGAUGACCUCGCCCUUCUUUGUACCACCAGCCUAUCCCCAGACAUCUGGCAUGACAUCCCCCGGGAAUCCUGGGUACCUUUUUCCCGGCUCGUCCCGGACCCCCUCCUUGUCUGCCCCCUUUAACCCCAUGUUUGUUGCUCCUGGGUCCCCCAUGACCUCGCCAAGUAAUCCCGUCCCAUCACCGGACACGAGUCUGCCUCUCAUCCCACCCUUUGUAGUUCCGGCCCUGCCACAGCAGUCUGGCAUGAACCCGCUGUUCCCCCCUUUCCCGCCGGUGAGCAACCCUGGACCUGCCUUUCCCAGCUCUCCACAACGUCCUGGCCUCCAGGAAAAUUCCAGAUUUCCACCUAUUUUUGCACAGGUAAACAUGAUGACCAAGAGUCUCUCUCUCUCUCUCUCUCUCUCUCUCUCACACACACACACACACACACACAUCAAGGCGUUGAGAUACAGAACUGGAACCUGCAUGGCUGAGAAGGAACGUUCUGACCAUGCUGGUCCUGCACAAUGUCGCUUUCACUCUGUUAAACCAACCACAGCGUCAUGGAAAUACCAUGUUAUUGGUUGUGUAGUUGUUUUGGCAGCCUGUCUUAAUUUUAGUUUUAGUCGAGUCUUUGCGUCAAGCUGCCAUUUUUGUUAUUAUUAG